rnacentral:rRNA from 1 species
CAAUAGCGUAUAUUAAAGCUGUUGCGGUUAAAAAGCUCGUAGUUGGAUUUCUGUCAAGGACAACUGGUCCGCCCUCCGGGUGAGCACAUAGUUUGGUCUUGGCAUCUUGCUGGAAGCUGUUGCUGCACUUGGCUGUGUGGCGCAGCGUCCAGCACUUUCACUUUGAGGAAAUUGGAGUGUUUCAAGCAGGCACAUGCCUUUGGACACAGUAGCAUGGAAUAAUUAGAUUGGGCUUUUGCUCCAAUUUGUCGGUUUCUGGAGCUGAGGUGAGAAUUAAUGGGGAUUGUUUGGGGCAUCCGAAUUUAGCCGUCAGAGGUGAAAUUCUUGGAUCUGCUAAAGACGGACAACUGCGAAAGCGUUUGCCCAGGAUGUUUUCAUUGA